UACGUAGGGGGCUAGCGUUGUCCGGAAUCAUUGGGCGUAAAGAGCGUGUAGGCGGCCCGGUAAGUCCGCUGUGAAAGUCGGGGGCUCAACCCUCGAAUGCCGGUGGAUACUGUCGGGCUAGAGUGCGGAAGAGGCGAGUGGAAUUCCUGGUGUAGCGGUGAAAUGCGCAGAUAUCAGGAGGAACACCAAUUGCGAAGGCAGCUCGCUGGGACGUAACUGACGCUGAGAAGCGAAAGCGUGGGGAUCGAACAGG
rnacentral:rRNA from 1 species